UACGUAGGGUGCAAGCGUUGUCCGGAAUUAUUGGGCGUAAAGAGCUCGUAGGCGGCUUGUCGCGUCGGACUGUAGAAAACCCGGCGGCUCCAACGUGCGGGCUUGCAGCCGGAUACGGGCAGGCUAGAGUUCGGUAGGGGAGACUGGAAUUCCUGGUGUAGCGGUGAAAUGCGCAGAUAUCAGGAGGAACACCGGUGGCGAAGGCGGGUCUCUGGGCCGAUACUGACGUGGAGGAGCGAAAGCGUGGGGGAGCGAACAGG
rnacentral:rRNA from 1 species